rnacentral:lncRNA from 1 species
UGCCUUAUAACUCAAUAAGAUAAUGCUUCACCUCCUUUCAUCUGUAAAACUAUAAAAAGCUGAUUCUUUUCACCUCAGUGUAAGCUUUAUUGUGCUUAGAUCCUUAAAUAGUGACUCUGUUGUUCCUUUCCAGGAGAUCAUGCUUCUCUUCAAGUAAGAAAGAGGCAAGAAUGAGUUGCAAGCAGUGCAGUGACUGGAAGAGAGUACAAUAAGAAUUUGGAGUGGACUGAAAGAAGCUUUCAGAUACUGGGAACAAUCUGUACUUUUUUGGGGCGCUUGGGGAAGAAACAGCAGUCAGGUACCUCAGGCAAAUGUCAAAAAGCUGCAAUCCUCUCCAUCACAAACUAGUUUUACCA